GUUUGCCAUUUGGGAUUUUCCCUUAACAUUUCUUGGUCCUUCGAGCCGGAUGGGACGGGCUAUUUAAAGCAGCUCCCAUAAGAGGCACCUCACCAGGUCCCGUCGGUGCGAGAAGCCCACGUUGAAGUCUGUCGACAGCUCACGCACUAGGUGCGUGAUAAAGCCCAAGGACGUGAAUUCGGGUCUUGGCCAACGUUUUACAAGCGGUCCGCACCGUCGGGGGCUGAUUGGGUGCAUCUGAAGAAACCACCAUUAAGGUAAGACGGAAAAACUCUGAGACAGUAAUGAUUGCGCAAAACGUAAACUAAAAUAGAGCUCGUCUAAGGACUGGCAGCUCCCCCGCAGGGGGUAGAAAACUGGGCUCGCCCGAAGGGGCUGGUAGCAUUUUAAACUAAAAUAGAGCUCGUCUAAGGACUGGCAGCUCCCCCGCAGGGGGUAGAAAACUGGGCUCGCCCGAAGGGGCUGGUAGCAUUUUAAACUAAAAUAGAGCUCAUCUACGGACUGGCAGCUCCCCCGUAGGGGGUAAAGGUAGUGCGCGCAUAAAUGUACUGUACUGUUUUGUUUAUGUUGGUGGAAUAAGUUGAUUUUUUUUACAGCACAAUAAGGAGGCUGAACUAUUCCACUAAUUUGUUUACUGUUGGUCGCUGAAGUACUGGUGAACUGAGAGGAAGGUCGUGUUUCAUCACGUAAAGGUGACACCGCUUUCAAGAAUAGCUUGAAAGUAGAAGGGCGUGUCAGCUACCUCUCUCUGUUCUCGUGCCAGUGAAAGCGCCGCAGGUGUGUGUGUAUUACUAAGCGCUAAAAGAAGCAUAAACUAAUAAUGGGUAAUAAAGCAACAAAACUCACUGCUGACGAGCAGUGGCUAGAAAAGAAAUGUCCAGGUGCCGGACAAAUUAGUGCAUAUAGAUAGAGAAAUCCAAAGAAAACUAAAUGUCCCACGUGGGAGGGAAAAUGCAUUAACUAAAUUAUAAGAAACCCUCCAAGCAGAAAUAAAUACUGAAAAGGAUGCUAAAAAGAAAUCAAAGCAUACACAAGAGUUGUAAUAUUUUAAAGCAUGGAAAGAGGAAUGAAGUGGAAUAAACAAAAGGUUGCGCUUCAUCGCAUAAAAUUAAGGCCGCCCUUGACAUUAGGACAAGGGUAGAAGGCUGCCUUAAUAACCUCCCCUAACUCUAAUACCAGAGAAGGUCACACAGUUCUGUUUGUAGUAUUAAUAACACAAAAUCAAAAUGGGAAAUAAAACAACAAAACUCACUGCUGACGAGCAGUGGCUAGAAAAGAAAUGUCCAGGCGCCCGGACAAAUUAGUGCAUAUAGAUGGAGAAAUCCAAAGAAAACUAAAUGUCCCACGUGGGAGGGAAAAUGCAUUAACUAAAUUAUAAGAAACCCUCCAAGCAGAAAUAAAUACUGAAAAGGAA
ensembl:lncRNA